CCGGACUGGAGGGUGUGUGCAAAGCAAACAAGCCUUCGGGCCUGAAAUGUGAAGGCAAGGCCCAAGCAGAUUGGACAAGUAGCGGAGACUCCAUCUCCUUCACCUUCCUCGGUCAAUUUCAACAGACACAGGGAGAACCACAUCUCCAAGACCUCCCUAGAUGCGCCGGCCUAAACCAACGGCGGCGACCGCAAAAUCAUACCUCACACCGCCACGCGCCUCUUGACCGACAAGAGGAACGAAGCUCCGCCUAAUCGACCGGAGCUACCGCGAUGGUUCUCUCACGAAGCGAAGCGAACAUCGGCAAUGGCGAAAGAAAAAUCGCUACGAAAGGACAAGAGAUCUUACCGGCAAUGGCGAAAGAGGAUCCGUCGGUGAAGCCGUAUUCGGAACUCAGGCUUUUUGGAAGGGGUCGAAUGGUUCUUUAUCGGAAUUCUGUGGAAGAAACGGUCAUGAAUUCUUGGUUGAGAGGAGGAUUGAAGGUGUUGUCCGGUUGAAUAUGAAGGAGUUGUAGAAGUUCCUUUUCUGAAUUUUGCAGGUUGCGUUAGAGAAAAAGAAUUGGUGUGGUGGUUGAAGAUUUGGCUAUGGAGUUUGGAGUUUAGUGAAGGUGUGGAUUGGAAGGUGAAGGGUGAUGUUGAAGAGGAUUAGGUGAUGGAGGAAGAAGAAGACGAAUCUAGAAAACUGAGAAGUGAAGAUUGAAGAUGAAGGUUGAAGAAGGAGCUGGAAAAGUUUGUUAGAGGUUGAAGGAUUGAGGGCGAAAACAAUUUUGGAAUGAGAGGGAAAAUUUUCUGAAACCAAUGAUUGGCAAUGAUUGCAGCUUAUAUAGCAGGAUCUAAGGGGCAAAUUGGAGAAUUAAAUCUGAAAUGAUUCAAUCUGCACCAUCCAGCUGGCAUUAAGUGAAGGACAUGGUUGAUUACCAAGUGCAAUCAUAGAGUUUCUCCAAGUGGUCAAAGCUGAAUCUGCAGCAAGGCUUCUCCUGUAGACUCCUUCUUGUUUUCCAAUGUGUUGAUUUGUGGGUCGCUUCCUGGAUUCACUAUGGAAACUUGAAGCUAUUUUCGGGCCAAGGAACAUUGAGUGACGAUGCCACCAGGUUUGUUUAGAAGUUAGUGACACAUAGCCUUGUGAUGAAUGUUGACGGUUAGUGUUAAUGCUGAUAGUAGCUUUUGGAAGAGUGGUUAAUGACAAAAUCUGUUAAGUGAAGUCAUUUAUGUAUUGUGAACACGGUUUGUGCAAGCUGAAAGGAAGAUGCCGUUGUGUAGUUAGGUAUCUUUCGGU